GCGUCUGUAGUCCUACGGUUAGGAUAAUUGCCUUCCAAGCAAUAGACCCGGGUUCGACUCCCGCAGAUGCA
rnacentral:tRNA from 1 species